UGGGGAAUUUUGGACAAUGGGCGAAAGCCUGAUCCAGCAAUGCCGCGUGUGUGAAGAAGGCCUUCGGGUUGUAAAGCACUUUUGUCCGGAAAGAAAUCCUUGGCUCUAAUACAGUCGGGGGAUGACGGUACCGGAAGAAUAAGCACCGGCUAACUACGUGCCAGCAGCCGCGGUAAUACGUAGGGUGCAAGCGUUAAUCGGAAUUACUGGGCGUAAAGCGUGCGCAGGCGGUUUGCUAAGACCGAUGUGAAAUCCCCGGGCUCAACCUGGGAACUGCAUUGGUGACUGGCAGGCUAGAGUAUGGCAGAGGGGGGUAGAAUUCCGCGUGUAGCAGUGAAAUGCGUAGAGAUGUGGAGGAAUACCGAUGGCGAAGGCAGCCCCCUGGGCCAAUACUGACGCUCAUGCACGAAAGCGUGGGGAGCAAACAGGAUUAGAUACCCUGGUAGUCCGCGCCCUAAACGAUGUCAACUAGUUGUUGGGGAUUCAUUUCCUUAGUAACGUAGCUAACGCGUGAAGUUGACCGCCU
rnacentral:rRNA from 1 species